ACGAGAGAGAGAGAGAGAGAGAGAGAGAGAGAGAGAGAGAGAGAGAGAGAGAGAGAGAGAGAGAGAGAGAGAGAGAGAGCGAGAGAUAAAACGAAGAGACACUCAAACAAAUAAGGGCAUUGUGCAAUCCACGAUAAUCCCUUAUAUACUUUAGCGCGUUGCCCCAUACUGUCAUAACUAUUCUCUGUUGGUUUUCAGCUAUUUUCAACCAACUAUUGUCCUCCUUAUAGCAUUGGUACGUUUUACACCCAGAUUCAUAAAAUGCUUGAAGCUUCAACUCAAGCUUCAAGAGAACCCAGUAAGCAAAAUUUAGUUGAAAAUACAUAUUUUAGACUUCAUUUCCAGACGUUGACGGUGUAUUUUAUCUGCUGAAUGAAAGGUGAAAAUACUUAUUUUAGACUUCAUUUCCAGACGUUGACGGUGUAUUUUAUCUGCUGAAUGAAAGGUGAAAAUACUUAUUUUAGACUUCAUUUCCAGAUGUUGACGGUGUAUUUUAUCUGCUGAAUGAAAGGUGAAAAUACUUAUUUUAGACUUCAUUUCCAGAUGUUGACGGUGUAUUUUAUCUGCUGAAUGAAAGGUGAAAAUACUUAUUUUAGACUUCAUUUCCAGAUGUUGACGGUGUAUUUUAUCUGCUGAAUGAAAGGUGAAAAUACUUAUUUUAGACUUCAUUUCCAGAUGUUGACGGUGUAUUUUAUCUGCUGAAUGAAAGGUGAAAAUACUUAUUUUAGACUUCAUUUCCAGACGUUGACGGUGUAUUUUAUCUGCUGAAUGAAAGGUGAAAAUACUUAUUUUAGACUUCAUUUCCAGACGUUGACGGUGUAUUUUAUCUGCUGAAUGAAAGGUGAAAAUACUUAUUUUAGACUUCAUUUCCAGACGUUGACGGUGUAUUUUAUCUGCUGAAUGAAAGGUGAAAAUACUUAUUUUAGACUUCAUUUCCAGACGUUGACGGUGUAUUUUAUCUGCUGAAUGAAAGGUGAAAAUACUUAUUUUCCGGAUGCUGAAAAUACUUGUUUUCUGACCGU